rnacentral:rRNA from 1 species
UACGUAGGGAGCAAGCGUUUGUCCGGAAUCAUUGGGCGUAAAGAGCGCGUAGGUGGCUUUAUAAGUCCGUUGUGAAAGUCAAAGGCUCAACCUUUGAAAGCCGAUGGAUACUGCAGGGCUAGAGUCCGGAAGAGGCGAGUGGAAUUCCUGGUGUAGCGGUGAAAUGCGCAGAUAUCAGGAGGAACACCGAUGGCGAGGGCAGCUCGCUGGGACGGUACUGACGCUGAGGCGCGAAAGCGUGGGUAGCAAACAGG